AUGAAUAUCCUAUCAUGGAACUGCCGGGAGGGGCGGGGGAACCGCCAGACAGUUCGUGAGGUUUUGGCCCUCUCAAAAGUCAACAACCCCAAGCUAGUCUUUCUUUGUUAGACUAGGCAAGAAGCAGCUAAAGUGGAGAAAUUGAAGUGGAGAUUGGACCUAAAAGGCUUUCAUGGUGUUAGCAGUGAUGGAUGUAGUGGUGGUCUUGCUUUGUUCUGGGAGGAGACGCUAUCAGUGACAGUGCUCGAAUCAUAUAACAGAUUUAUUGACAUUAGAGUUCACGAUGCGGGUUCCGAUACUACUUGGAGAGGAACCUUUGUUUAUGGUGAACCGCGAGUGGAAAAUCAUCAGCGUAUGUGGGAUCAUCUUUGUCGCCUGAGAGCAAUUUCACAAGAUCCUUGGUGGUGUGUGGCGACUUCAAUGAAGCCUUAUGGCAGCAUGAACAUCUCUCAAGAACGACUAGAUCGGAGUCUCAAAUGGAAGUGUUCAGAGAUUGCUUGGUAA
rnacentral:rRNA from 1 species